rnacentral:rRNA from 1 species
UUCGCCCUUAGAGUUUGAUCCUGGCUCAGGAUGAACGCUGGCGGCGUGCUUAACACAUGCAAGUCGAACGGAGUCUGUAAACCGGAAGCUUCGGUGGAAGGAUUACAAACUUAGUGGCGGACGGGUGAGUAACGUGUGGGCAACCUGCCCUAUACUGGGGAAUAAUCACUGGAAACGGUGACUAAUACCGCAUGUCAUCACGAAAGGGCAUCCUUCUGUGAGAAAAGGAGUAAUUCGGUAUAGGAUGGGCCCGCAUCUGAUUAGCUAGUUGGUGAGAUAACAGCCCACCAAGGCGACGAUCAGUAGCCAACCUGAGAGGGUGAUCGGCCACAUUGGGACUGAGACACGGCCCAAACUCCUACGGGAGGCAGCAGUGGGGAAUAUUGCACAAUGGGGGAAACCCUGAUGCAGCAACGCCGCGUGAAGGAUGAAGGUUUUCGGAUCGUAAACUUCUAUCAAUAGGGACGAAACAAAUGACGGUACCUAAAUAAGAAGCCCCGGCUAACUACGUGCCAGCAGCCGCGGUAAUACGUAGGGGGCAAGCGUUAUCCGGAAUUACUGGGAGUAAAGGGAGCGUAGGGCGGCAUGUCAAGCCAGAUGUGAAAGCCCGGGGCUUAACCCCGUGGAUUGCAUUUGGAACUGGCAAGCUAGAGUACAGGAGAGGAAAGCGGAAUUCCUAGUGUAGCGGUGAAAUGCGUAGAUAUUAGGAGGAACACCAGUGGCGAAGGCGGCCUGCUGGACGACAACUGACGCUGAGGCGCGAAAGCGUGGGGAGCAAACAGGAUUAGAUACCCUGGUAGUCCACGCUGUAAACGAUGAAUACUAGGUGUGGGGGGACUGACCCCCUCCGUGCCGCAGUUAACACAAUAAGUAUUCCACCUGGGGAGUACGAUCGCAAGAUUGAAACUCAAAGGAAUUGACGGGGGCCCGCACAAGCAGUGGAUUAUGUGGUUUAAUUCGACGCAACGCGAAGAACCUUACCGGGAUUUGACAUCCUACUAACGAGGCAGAGAUGCAUUAGGUGCCCUUCGGGGAAAGUAGAGACAGGUGGUGCAAGGUUGUCGUCAGCUCGUGUCGUGAGAUGUUGGGUUAAGUCCCGCAACGAGCGCAACCCCUAUUGUUAGUUGCUACGCAAGAGCACUCUAGCGAGACUGCCGUUGACAAAACGGAGGAAGGCGGGGACGACGUCAAAUCAUCAUGCCCCUUAUGUCCCGGGCUACACACGUAAUACAAUGGCGAUGAACAGAGGGAAGCAAGCCCGCGAGGGGGAGCAAAACCCUAAAAAUCGUCUCAGUUCGGAUUGCAGGCUGAAACCCGCCUGCAUGAAGUUGGAAUUGCUAGUAAUCGCGGAUCAGCAUGCCGCGGUGAAUACGUUCCCGGGCCUUGCACUCACCGCCCGUCA